rnacentral:rRNA from 1 species
AGAAGUAGCUUGCUACUUCGGCGUCGAGCGGCGGACGGGUGAGUAAUGCAUAGGAAGUUGCCCAGUAGAGGGGGAUAACCAUUGGAAACGAUGGCUAAUACCGCAUAACCUCUUCGGAGCAAAGCGGGGGACCUUUGGGCCUCGCGCUACUGGAUACGCCUAUGUGGGAUUAGCUAGUUGGUGAGGUAAUGGCUCACCAAGGCGACGAUCCCUAGCUGGUCUGAGAGGAUGAUCAGCCACACUGGGACUGAGACACGGCCCAGACUCCUACGGGAGGCAGCAGUGGGGAAUAUUGCACAAUGGGCGAAAGCCUGAUGCAGCCAUGCCGCGUGUAUGAAGAAGGCCUUCGGGUUGUAAAGUACUUUCAGUUGUGAGGAAGGUUUCGUAGUUAAUAACUGCGUUGCUUGACGUUAGCAACAGAAGAAGCACCGGCUAACUCCGUGCCAGCAGCCGCGGUAAUACGGAGGGUGCGAGCGUUAAUCGGAAUUACUGGGCGUAAAGCGCAUGCAGGUGGUUUGUUAAGUCAGAUGUGAAAGCCCGGGGCUCAACCUCGGAAGGUCAUUUGAAACUGGCAAACUGGAGUACUGUAGAGGGGGGUAGAAUUUC